GUUGCGACAGCUAGGACGCCACGUCAUAAAUAAGGCAUGUGCGACGUCGACACGUGUCAUAUCUUACCAAUCCGCUGCGUUUCAUUAACUAAUCUGUGCAACCGUUUGGGCUUUACUCUUUUAUGGGCUUCAUGUUAAUUUCGUUUGGGUUGGUCGUUUUUUUUUUGUCACAGGGUUGAUCAUUUUGUUGUAUCCAACCUUUUGUUAUUAGACAUAGAUGAAGUGUCGCAUUUCAAUUAGGGUUAAUCCCAGCUCUUCUUCGUCGCCUCCCCAGCACCAAUGUUGCUUUGUUCUUCUCCAUCGCUCUUUCAUCUUCUUCCUCAGAUGCCAAAACGAGUUUGCUUAAUGCUUGAGAGGAUUGAACUAAUACAUUCAACAUAACACCGACUGAGAUUAUACGGCGGUGGUAUGAACAUGUUCAGAACUUCUGCGGCGACCACCUUCAACGGAGGGCUUCUUAGAAAUUUAUCAACUUUCCUGAAGCGUCAAAGAUAUCUCAAAGCGUCCACAGCCAUGGAGAGAUCCAAAGUCCAGAGUAUUAUACGGAGCCAAUCGUGCGUUUCCUUAGAUCUUUUUCUUUCAUCUUUUUUAAAAAAAAAUUUUGGUAUGCUUACUUCCUCUGUAUUCUUUUACUGGAAUUCUCUUUGUCUUCCGGUGGUUUCACGGCGGAUCCAUCACUUGAGUUUAAGGUUGUUCAUAAUGUGGGCUCCCAAAUAAUGGAUUUGACAGGUUUUAAGUAUUUUUUUCAUGCAUAAAGCUUGGAUUCAUAUUUAGCUAUUUAGUAGGAGAAAUGAGUACUGAAGAAAUAAUUAAUAUAUUAUCUAAUAUUUUCUUGCACAACACAUUAUUUAGCAACAAAUCUGUUUCUAAGAGAGCUACAUAUGUACGUACUAUGUAAUUCCUAAUUUAGUUUUCUUGGUAAAUCAAGUUUUGAUUUAGAAACAUUGCGGCUAUCUCUAUAACUAUGCAGAUCUGUGUGAGAGUAUAUGAUUGGGCAAUUGAUGUGUCUUGGUUUUUGCAAGUGUUAAGGAAUUCAUGUUGUUUUCUUUGUGCUUCUGAACUCUUAUCUUGAUCCAGAGUACAAAGACUACAUAGGUAAUUUGAUCAACACUCUUUGUGCAUUUUCAAAAGUUACAUAUCAGUUGAUUAUUUUCUUUGAUGUCCUGUGUUAUAAUCCCUCAACAUUAUAGAGUGUAGAAGUUUAGUAGUCCAACAAGUUGAUCACAUAUAGAAAAUAUUGAACUGCUUUUUCAUUGUGUUUAAAAGUAUCCAUUAUUCAUACUUCAUCUGUAUGAAUGAUGACAUGCCAUCGGGUUUGACCGAGAAUGUAUUACAGCGGACGUAGCGCUGGUUUAACUCCAUUGGUGCAGGCUUAGCAAUAUCGCCAGGUGAUGUAGCUUUAAAGGUUUCUAAUCUUAAUCCCAACUUCUCAUCAGCCCCUCCAUCAUUCACCAAACAGAUUUGUGGGCCUACCAAAAUAGAAAAGCAGAAACGUUUAUGCAGCUUAUUUGCCAUUUCUGCUGGAGAACAGAGGUAGCUGCUGCAAAUACUGAAGGAAGCUGAGAGCUUGACUUCUUGAACGGCGUCAACCUUGGUUCUCAAUUUCCAAGUCAUUUUUCAGUUCCACGUUUUGCUGGCUGUUUUAGAUUGCUAAACUGGAAUAUGAAGCUAGAGUGGAAAUCAUUGUGAAGGAUGGCUUUUGUCUGAUAAAAUGAUGCAAAUGAGUGAUGGAAAAAGGAUAGAAGCAUUGCAAAGGACAAGAAUUCUGAGACAACUGUGAGAUCUACAUAUUUACAUUUUGAUACUACGGAAACUUAAAAAAUCUUUCAUCAGUUUUAGACUUUCACCCUAAUUGAUUUAUGCCCACAAUCUCAAACAAGUAAGACAUCUGCAUAUAUUCUAACAGAUGUGUGUUUCUUAUGUUGUCUCCAACAUGUAACUAAUAGUGUGAUCUUUCUCUUUCUUUUUUUGAAUAUUCGGUGGCCACAAUCAAUGAUUUCCAAAAAGCUUUUAUAUCUAAAGAACUAUGAUGCUAUGUAUUUUCCUCCAUUACUCUAUUCCAAACUUUUUAUACCUUUCUAUCGGAGGAGCUCCAUUUCUAACAUUUCCAGACUUUGUCACUCACUUUCUCUAUAAUUGACUUAAAAGUAAUUUAAGUUUGGCUCCAUUUUCUUAAAUUUUGGUUUUCUGGGUUUAAUGUAGUUUUGAAGUAAAUUGUAAACUCAAUAACAUUAUGCAACUU